ensembl:snRNA U6 U6 spliceosomal RNA
GUGCUUGCCUUGGCAGCACAUAUACUAAAAGUGGAACAAUACAGAGAAGACAAGCAUGGCCUCUGUGCAAGGAUGACACACA